UGAUCAAGUAUAUUGGAUUGAAUAUAAGGGCAAAUCAUUUAAUCUCUAAAACCUACUUUUUACUAACAAACUAACAAUCAAGAAGGUAUAAAUAUAGUUGGUCUGAUAUGAGGACUUCAGAUAAAUGCAUAUCUUAUGGUGUCAUGUGGAUUUGAAAGUUGGACACUAAAUAUGACUCAUUGGUAGAAUAUUUGGUAGUAAAUGAAGAAUAUUGCUUCUAGACUGGGAAUCAUCUCAUUGAUCUCAUAGUCACAGAAACCAGUGAAUUUUUGAAUAAUUCAUUUAUUCUUCGUAUUCAGAAUGCCAAAAGAAUUGUUUUCUGAAUUAUUCACUCAUUUUAUACAUAUCACGAAUAAGUCGUGAAAUUCAUAGAACUGUCAUUUUAUUCAUGAUUUAUUCAUGAAUUGUGUGAAUAGUUCAUAGCUUGUGGAGGAAGCUGCAUGGGAUGUUGCUUCGAAGUGGAGUGUUGAGGGGAAUGGGUUGCUGGCAAUGGAAAAGGGGAAAGUGGGGUGUGCCAAUGAUCUUGAGAUUUUCUAGAUUUUAGACUAACUUUUUUUCUAAAAAGGAAUACCAAGAGUCACCGAUCACAUCUCUUAUGUUCUCUCUUCUAUUCUUCUUGUCCAAUCCUUCUAGGCCACACCUAUUACUCACCCUUCGCCAGUUCUCUUCUAUUUUGCUUUCUAACAUUUUUUUUUACUUACUCUUUUCUUCUUAUUCUCCUAUAGUCACAUCCACAAUCUUUAUCUUCUCAUUACUAACCAUUGGGGCCUGCAAGCCAUUUCCUCCCACUGCCGACCUUUGCAUAUGACCGACCUCUUUAGCUUUGUACAUCUGAUCACUGGUGUGCUUCCACUUAGCUAUGCUUCUUUCCGCCACCAUCAACCCCCCUCCCCCCCUCUCUCCACCCCUCUUCCACGUCCCCAUCUCUCUUUUCUCAAAUAGGUUUUAGGGUCUAGGGUGGGCAAGGUCUGUCGUACUGUCCUGUACCGACUGGUACGGGGCGUACUGUAUUAUACUAGGAGAAAACCGCUACAAAACACACUUUCAAGUCGGUACAAACCCCGUACAGCCCCAUACUAAGGCACGUAUCGAGGCGUACCAAGAUAAAAAUCGAGAAAAUAGGUAAGAGAGCUAUUUUGGAGCAGAGCUGUACCAUACCUAAUCGAUAAAGUACCGAUACGGUAUCCGAUACCGAGAUUGCGGACAUUGGUUAAGGAUUUAGGGUUUAGUGUUUUAGGAUUUUAGGGGGUUAGGGUUUAGGGUUUAUUCCUACAAGGCGUCAGAUCUGGUUUUUGAAUUAUAUCUAGAAUGGAUGUUGGAUGCGGUUGGGGGCAGGAGGGUUGAUCAAGGAUAUUGGAUUGAAUAUAAGGGCAAAUCAUUUAAUCUCUAAAACCUAUUUUUUACCAACAAACUAACAAUCGAGUAGGUAUAAAUAUAGUUGGUCUGAUAUGAGGACUUUAGAUAAAUGCAUAUCUUAUGGUGUCAUGUGGAUUUGAAAGUUGGACACUAAAUAUGACUCAUUGGUAGAAUAUUUUGUAGUAAAUGAAGAUUAUUGCUUCUAGACUGGGAUCAUCUCAUUGAUCUCAUAGUCACAGAAAUCGUUGAAUUUUUGAAUAAUUCAUUUAUUCUUUGUAUUCAGCAUGCCAAAAGAAUUGUUUUAUGAAUUAUUCGCUUAUUCUUAUACAUAUCACGAAUAAGUCGUGAAAUUCAUAGAACUGUUGUUUUAUUCAUGAUAUAUUCAUGAAUUGUGUGAAUAGUUCCUAGCUUGUGGAGGAAGCUACAGGGUUGUUGCUUCAAAGUCGAGCACUGAGGGGAAUGGGUUGCCGGCAAUGGAAAAGGGGAAAGUGGGGUGUCCCAAUGAUCUUGAGAUUUUCUAGAUUUUAGACUAACUUUUUUCGAAAAAGGAAUACGAAGAGUCACCAAUCACAUCUCUCAUGUUCUCUCUCCUAUUCUUCUUGUCCAAUCUCCAUGUUCUUCUCUUUUCUUGUCAUCCUUCUAGGCCCAACCUACUACUCUCCCUUUGCUAGUUCUCUUCUAUUUUGCUUUCUAACAUUUUUUUAACAUACCUCUUUUCUUCUUAUUCUCCUACAGUCACAUCCACAAUCUUUAAAUUCUCUUUACACAUGACCGACCUCUUCAGCUCUAUACAUCUGAUCACUGGUGUGCUUCCACUCAGCUAUGUUCCUUGCCGCCACUACCAACCCCUCCUCCUUCCCUCUCUCUCCACCCGCCUCCAUGUCCUCAUCUCUCUUUUCUCAAAUCCUUGAGCCUCUCUCACCCUCCGCCCUUUUCCCUCUCUGCACCCCUCCUCUCCCUCCCUCCCUCUCCUCCACCUUUGCUUCCCACUCUCUCCGCAGCUUUGUCCAAGCAAUUUAAGUGCAUGUCAGGCACUGAUUCCAUACCUUUACCUGUGUUGUGUCAUGUCAAGACGGGUAUGCUGGGCUGUUCAAGCAAGUUUUGUAUCAUGGUGAAAUGAACAUCCAAUUGUCACGUUAUCAAUUUUAUUUAGUACUUUCUUUUACAUAUUCUGCUUGCUCUUUUCCUUAUCAAGUCCAAAGUUAUUUAUGCAUUAGCAAUGAGUCCUUUUUUAUAAUUAGAUUAACAAAAUCUAACAUGUUUAGAUGGAUGCAUGAAUGCAAACUUCCAAGAGAUGAUGGCUAAUUUUGGAGAAAAUAGAAGUGAAACAACUUGUCCUCAGUAAAACCAGAGUCAAUAAAACCUGGAUGUCAAGCUUAGCAUGUCGAGCUAUAUUCUACGAUAACAGCGUCUUAAUUAACUUCCAUUUUCUAUAAAUGCUGAUAACGAUAGAACUUUUUAACCUGGUUAGCCAUUUGUGAAGCAAAGAUGGACCAAUACAUCAAAAAAAAUUGCAGCGUUUGUUGAUGCAUAGUAUGAGUACCAGAUGCUUUUGUCCUAUUUUUUUGUUGGUAUCAUCUUAUUAUACAGCCUUAGUGUUGUUAUUAUGAUUAUUAUAUUUUGAUAUUACUUUCCUGUUAGUUUGAUAUAUCUUUUUGGUUACUUUACAUCCAUUUUUCUUGCAUUAUUUUACAUUUGUUGUGGUAUGUAUAACAUUAUCCUAUAUUUUAUUUACUUAGUGGUAAUUCCAAGUUGACCAACUGGCCUUGAUCAGAGAUCUUUUGCGAAUGUACUGAAGAUAGGGUAUCUUCACGUACCAAUUGACCUCAGUCAAAAUUAUUCCACAAAACUAUGGAGAAGAGAUGUUAUUGAUGGAUCAUAAAAUCAAUUCUGAGUUAAGAAGUAGAUCCUACAUAAACAUAGUUAAUUAGAAUCUCUGUGAUAAGUUUAUGCAUAUUUAUAUGGUUGAAUGCUAAUUAGAUAGUUAU
rnacentral:lncRNA from 1 species